AAGAAUCUGGAGACAGGUGCUGCAUGGCUGUCGUCAGCUCGUGUCGUGAGAUGUUGGGUUAAGUCCCGCAACGAGCGCAACCCUGCCUUUAGUUGCCAGCAGUUCGGCUGGGCACUCUAAAGGGACUGCCGGUGUUAAACCGGAGGAAGGUGGGGAUGACGUCAAGUCCUCAUGGCCUUUAUGACCAGGGCUACACACGUACUACAAUGGCCGAUACAAAGGGCAGCGACACUGCGAGGUGAAGCCAAUCCCGUAAAAUCGGUCUCAGUCCGGAUUGGAGUCUGCAACUCGACUCCAUGAAGUUGGAAUCGCUAGUAAUCGUGGAUCAGCAUGCCACGGUGAAUACGUUCCCGGGCCUU
rnacentral:rRNA from 1 species